UACGUAGGGUGCAAGCGUUGUCCGGAAUUAUUGGGCGUAAAGAGCUCGUAGGCGGUUUGUCGCGUCGGCUGUGAAAACCUGGGGCUCAACCCCGGGCCUGCAGCCGAUACGGGCAAACUAGAAUUCGGUAGGGGAGACUGGAAUUCCUGGUGUAGCGGUGAAAUGCGCAGAUAUCGGGAGGAACACCGGUGGCGAAGGCGGCCAGCUGGCGCUGACCUGACGCUGAGGCGCGAAGGCAUGGGGAGCGAACGGGG
rnacentral:rRNA from 1 species